AUUGAACGCUGGCGGCAGGCCUAACCCAUGCAAGUCGAGCGGAGAGGGGACGGGUGAGUAACACGUGGGUAACCUCCCAUCAGAGGGGAUAACAAUUGGAAACAGGUGCUAAACCGCUACUGAUGGAUGGACUCGCGGUGCAUUAGCUAGUUGGUGAGGUAACGGCUCACCAAGGCCACGAUGCAUAGCCGGCCUGAGAGGGUGAGCAGCCACACUGGGACUGAGAAACGGCCCAGACUCCUACGGGAGGCAGCAGUAGGGAAUCUUCUGCAAUGGGCGAAAGUCUGAUCGAGCAACGCCGCGUGUGUGAAGAAGGUUUUCGGAUUGUAAAGCUCUGUUGUUAGAGAAGCGGUAUCUACCCAGGAAGCCACGGCUAACUACGUGCCAGCCGCCGCGGUAAUAC
rnacentral:rRNA from 1 species